rnacentral:rRNA from 1 species
UGAGUAACCUGCCCUUGACUCUGGGAUAAGCCUGGGAAACCGGGUCUAAUACCGGAUAUGACUGCCGGCCGCAUGGCCUGGUGGUGAAAAGCUCUAUUGCGGUUUUGGAUGGACUCGCGGCCUAUCAGCUUGUUGGCGGGGUAAUGGCCCACCAAGGCGACGACGGGUAGCCGGCCUGAGAGGGUGACCGGCCACACUGGGACUGAGACACGGCCCAGACCUCCGUACGGGAGCAG